rnacentral:lncRNA from 1 species
UUAAUCUGUGAUCACAACCCUAUGGUGAUCACACUGGCUGAAGAUAUUAGGCAAAGGAAGACUCCUUUCAGAUUUUUUAAUGCAUGGGCCAAUCAUGUGAAAUUUCAACAAAUGGUCAAGGAGAACUGGCACAGCAAUACUCAGGGUUCUAUGAAAGAUGUGUGGAUCAAUCUCAAGGCACUUAAAGCAGCCUUAAAAUCUUUAAACACUAAA